rnacentral:rRNA from 1 species
UACGGAGGGCGCAAGCGUUGGUCGGAAUCACUGGGCGUAAAGCGCGUGUAGGCGGUUCAGCAAGUCGGCUGUGAAAGCCCGAGGCUCAACCUCGGAACUGCAGCCGAAACUGCCGGGCUCGAGUCCCGGAGAGGGUGGCGGAAUUUCCGGUGUAGAGGUGAAAUUCGUAGAUAUCGGAAGGAACACCAGAGGCGAAGGCGGCCACCUGGACGGUGACUGACGCUGAGAAGCGAAAGCGUGGGGAGCAAACAGG